AUGGUAUGAUGCUGGUAAAGCUGUCUCACGCACCUGCAGUGCUGUUUCAGUAGCUAGGUGUCAUCAUCUAAAAUAACCCUAAUUUAAAAGACAGUUCUUAUUUGAUUAAUGGUGGUUGGACCCAUCUAUGUGAAGCUAGCCACAAUAAGGAUUAGCCACAGCAGUGGACUUUGCGGUUGGCCUUCAAAAUCAAAGUAUAGCAUAAUUCUACUAUUUGCAUGUAUUUGCAUCUCUGUCAAUGACAUACUUUUAUUUUGAAGGCAAACCGCAAAAUCCCCUUCUGUGGCUAGCUACACAACACAUAACGCAGUCCGUUCGAGCCUCACUAGCCAGAUGAAGCUAGCUGGCUGCUUAUAAUGUUAGCUUUUGGAAACAGGGUCGCGCUACUCGCCUGUCUCUUUCCAGUCCUGAGCUGCUGACAGAGCUGCGUCGGUCUCAGUCCCGUCCUAUGAAGCACGUCUCCAUCUCUAAAGGACUCACCACUGUCUUCUGUGGACGGGGCAGGGGCGUAACGACUCCUAGCUCUGGCCCUGCCUCAGGAGCAACCAACCAGACACUCCGCUCAGACUCCACGGCCAAUGAAAGAAGACAGGCGGGUCCCAGGCUGUCCAAUGGGACAUAACGUUAGACUAAGUUAAAGUGCCUCUGAGGAAACCAGCUGCUGUAUAGUGUCAAUGUUAUUGAUAUUAAUGAAAAUCAGUAGUACUGUGGCCUGAAUAUGAUACAUGAUCAAACACUAUCUAUACUGCCAUGUGCCAACAAUAAACACAAUGCAAACUAACCGACAGACGAACACACUGUAGCUCUUCAUGUAAGACAUGGAGAGCAAUGUGUUGAGCUGAGGCAUGCCUCUCUCUUGAAAAAUAAAUUAUAAAAUGUAUCAUAA